GACGAACGCUGGCGGCGUGCUUAACACAUGCAAGUCGAACGGAAAGGCCCUGCUUUUGUGGGGUGCUCGAGUGGCGAACGGGUGAGUAACACGUGAGUAACCUGCCCUUGACUUUGGGAUAACUUCAGGAAACUGGGGCUAAUACCGGAUAGGAGCUCCUGCUGCAUGGUGGGGGUUGGAAAGUUUCGGCGGUUGGGGAUGGACUCGCGGCUUAUCAGCUUGUUGGUGGGGUAGUGGCUUACCAAGGCUUUGACGGGUAGCCGGCCUGAGAGGGUGACCGGCCACAUGGGGACUGAGAUACGGCCCAGACUCAUACGGGAGGCAGCAGUGGGGAAUAUUGAACAAUGGGCGGAAGCCGGAUGCAGCAACGCCGCGUGCGGGAUGACGGCCUUCGGGUGGUAAACCGCUUUCGCCUGUGACGAAGCGUGAGUGACGGUAAUGGGUAAAGAAGCACCGGCUAACUACGU
rnacentral:rRNA from 1 species